UACGUAGGGGUGCGAGCGUUUAAUCGGAAUUACUGGGCGUAAAGCGUGCGCAGGCGGUUCUCCAAGUCCGUUGUGAAAGCCCCGGGCUCAACCUGGGAAUGGCAGUGGAAACUAGGGGACUGGAAUCUGGCAGAGGGGGGUGGAAUGCCGCGUGUAGCAGUGAAAUGCGUAGAGAUGCGGCGGAACACCGAUGGCGAAGGCAGCCCCCUGGGCUGAGAUUGACGCUCAGGCACGAAAGCGUGGGGAGCAAACAGG
rnacentral:rRNA from 1 species